rnacentral:rRNA from 1 species
UACGGAGGGGGCUAGCGUUGUUCGGAAUUACUGGGCGUAAAGCGCGCGUAGGCGGCUUUGUAAGUUAGAGGUGAAAGCCCUAAGCUCAACUUCUGAAUUGCCUUUAAGACUGCAUCGCUAGAAUCAUGGAGAGGUUAGUGGAAAUCCGAGUGUAGAGGUGAAAUUCGUAGAUAUUCGGAAGAACACCAGUGGCGAAGGCGACUAACUGGACAUGUAUUGACGCUGAGGUGCGAAAGCGUGGGUAGCAAACAGG